rnacentral:precursor_RNA from 12 species
UUCCUUUGGAUCUUAAGAGUUUCUGGAGACUAGUGAGGACUUAAGGAAACUCACAUUCUUUGGAGAGUUUUUCCUUGAUUCUCACAGCUAUCUUAUGGUGUCCUCUGUUGUUGGUUU